GUCCACGCCGUAAACGAUGGGUGCUAGAUAUCGGGACUUAAGUUUCGGUGUCGUAGCUAACGCGUUAAGCACCCCGCCUGGGGAGUACGGUCGCAAGAUUAAAACUCAAAGGAAUUGACGGGGACCCGCACAAGCAGUGGAGCAUGUGGUUUAAUUCGAUGCUACGCGAAAAACCUUACCACCUUUUGACAUCUCCCUUACGGAAGCUUGUUAUAGAGCUUCUUCGGUUCGGCCGGAGGGAAGACAGGUGUUGCAUGGCUGUCGU
rnacentral:rRNA from 1 species